rnacentral:rRNA from 1 species
UACGGGGGGGAGCAAGCGUUGUUCGGAUUUACUGGGCGUAAAGAGUUCGUAGGCGGUUAUUUAAGUCUGGUGUUAAAGACGGGAGCUCAACUCCCGCAUGGCAUUGGAAACUGGAUAGCUAGAGUACGGUAGAGGUCUCGGGGAAUUCCAGGUGUAGCGGUGAAAUGCGUAGAUAUCUGGAGGAACACCGGUGGCGAAGGCGACAUCCUGGACCGGUAUUGACGCUGAGGCGCGAAAGCCAGGGGAGCAAACGGG